CGGCGAGAUGAUUGCCAUGUCGUCGACGCCGAUUCUGCUCACCAUACUCUUGGCAUACCUCGCGUUCUCUGCAAACUGUAAUGGAAACCCUUCCGUUGCAGGCGAACGUGGUAAUGACGAGGACACACCAGCUGCAGGUGGUCACCGGCGGUGGCAGCCAAACGGCGACAAGACGAUUUCCGGAGGCAGCAGCGACGACGAGGCGGCGACGUGCGUGAGCAGUGAAUGCGAGGGCAGCACCUGUUACUGCUGCCCAACGAUGCCCACUAGCCCUUGCUUCUUGGAUCUGGAUGCUUGCUUGAGAGUCUGCCAUGGUCGUCGUCGUCGUCGUCGGCCAGCCGCACCGCUGCCGGAGGUAACGUCGUCGUCUGGGCGCGGGUCCGGACCAAGCAGAUUCCCCUGAUCGAGAGUAGCUAGCUAGCUGGGGCGGCCUCGCCGUCGACGACCCCUAGCUAGCUCCAUCGGCGAUCGAUGUCCUAGCUUGUGACAAUUGACAAGACGAGAGAACAUGGAUGUUUUCGCCACCACCACGGCUCUUCCUCGAACAAGAUGAAACUCCAGUACCCUCAAUUGCUGCGGCAGUUAAUCGACAUAGUCAGGAGGUUUGUAGUUUACCAGCGGACCCUCAGCCAAGCGACACUAACAACUCGCAGUUGCACAACUUCAUCGCAAAUAUAACCAUGCCACCAGAACCCCCUCUGAUUCAAACCCUUCCACACAACAAUUUACCCAACACAGCAAAUGCAAUUUGGGUUUCGCCCCAACAGCAUAUAAAUAGGCCUGGCCAAGCUUCCACCUCCGGCAAGAGAUAUAGUGUUAGAUUGGCUGCAAAGAAAAAAUUAAUGUUGGGGCGUUCUAGAGAUUCAAUAUCCAAAGCUCAGGAUAUUCUGAUUGCAAGGCUUUUUGCAAGACCUCUUACCAAGAUUCAGAUGGAGGAGAUCAUGGAGCUGGCCAAUCAUGGAAAAGGAAAGAAAAUCAACAACAAGAAAGGGCGCAAGGUGGCUCCCUUCUUAGCACCGGUCGCCCCUUUGGCCUUGGAAGGCUGAGUGCGGUAGUCUUGUCUGUAAUGGUGGAGAUGGUUUUGCUGAUGUUACAGCAGAUGGUUCUUUUGGUGGUCCUUUUGGCGGUGUUGUCGGCAGUAGAGUUGGGUUUAGAGUCUGGCUGCUGGCUCUUGCUUCUAGGGCAUCCAGGGCUGUUAUGUCUUCCUUUGUACUGCGU
rnacentral:misc_RNA from 1 species